UCCAGGGUAGUCUAAUGGACAUCCAUCUGCCCGAUAAUCGGAACACUGUGGGUUCGAUUCCCAUCCCUGGAC
rnacentral:tRNA from 1 species